UACGAAGGGGGCUAGCGUUGCUCGGAAUCACUGGGCGUAAAGGGCGCGUAGGCGGCCAUUCAAGUCAGGGGUGAAAGCCUGUGGCUCAACCACAGAAUUGCCUCUGAUACUGUUUGGCUAGAGACCGGAAGAGGUAAGUGGAACUGCGAGUGUAGAGGUGAAAUUCGUAGAUAUUCGCAAGAACACCAGUGGCGAAGGCGGCUCACUGGCCCGGUACUGACGCUGAGGUGCGAAAGCGUGGGGAGCAAACAGG
rnacentral:rRNA from 1 species